rnacentral:rRNA from 1 species
ACACUCCUGCGGGAGGCAGCAGUGGGGAAUAUUGGACAAUGGGCGCAAGCCUGAUCCAGCCAUGCCGCGUGAGUGAUGAAGGCCCUAGGGUUGUAAAGCUCUUUCACCGGUGAAGAUAAUGACGGUAACCGGAGAAGAAGCCCCGGCUAACUUCGUGCCAGCAGCCGCGGUAAUACGAAGGGGGCUAGCGUUGUUCGGAUUUACUGGGCGUAAAGCGCACGUAGGCGGACUACUAAGUCAGGGGUGAAAUCCCGGGGCUCAACCCCGGAACUGCCUUUGAUACUGGUAGUCUUGAGUUCGAGAGAGGUGAGUGGAAUUCCGAGUGUAGAGGUGAAAUUCGUAGAUAUUCGGAGGAACACCAGUGGCGAAGGCGGCUCACUGGCUCGAUACUGACGCUGAGGUGCGAAAGCGUGGGGAGCAAACAGGAUUAGAAACCCUAGUAGUCCCAUGAU